GAUCAUGGCUCAGGAUGAACGCUAGCGGCAGGCCUAACACAUGCAAGUCGAGGGGCAGCACGGUGUAGCAAUACACUGGUGGCGACCGGCGCACGGGUGCGUAACGCGUAUGCAACCUACCUUUAACAGGGGGAUAACACUGAGAAAUUGGUACUAAUACCCCAUAAUAUCAUAGAAGGCAUCUUUUAUGGUUGAAAAUUCCGAUGGUUAGAGAUGGGCAUGCGUUGUAUUAG
rnacentral:rRNA from 1 species